rnacentral:rRNA from 1 species
ACUUAUCACCAUUCCAGAUAGAAUAUACCCGAUCUCGUCUGAUCUCGGAAGUCAAGCAAUCUUGGGCUUGGUUAUUACUUUGGAUGCGUGACCGCUUGGGAAUACCAAGUGUGAUAAGCA